rnacentral:rRNA from 1 species
UACGGAGGGUGCAAGCGUUGUCCGGAAUCACUGGGCGUAAAGGGCGCGUAGGCGGCUCAUGAAGGCUGUGGUGGAAGUCCGGGGCUCAACCUCGGAUCGGCCGUGGCGACUCGUGGGCUGGAGCACUGUAGAGGCGGGUGGAAUUCCGGGUGUAGCGGUGGAAUGCGUAGAGAUCGGGAGGAAGGCCGGUGGCGAAGGCGGCGCUCUGGAACGUUUCUGACACUGAGGCUCGAAAGCGUGGGGAGCAAACAGG